UACAGAGGGGGCGAGCGUUGUUCGGAAUUACUGGGCGUAAAGGGCGCGUAGGCGGCCAACUAAGUCAGACGUGAAAUCCCUCGGCUCAACCGGGGAACUGCGUCUGAUACUGGAUGGCUUGAAUUCGGGAGAGGGAUGCGGAAUUCCAGGUGUAGCGGUGAAAUGCGUAGAUAUCGGGAGGAACACCAGAGGCGAAGGCGGGUUACUGGGCUGAUACUGACGCUGAUGCGCGAAAGCCAGGGGAGCAAACGGG
rnacentral:rRNA from 1 species